GGCAGAAUGGGCGCAGCCUGAUGCAGCGACGCCGCGUGAGUGAUGAAGGCCUUCGGGUUGUAAACGCUCUUUCGGCGGGGACGAAGAUGACGGUACCCGCAGAACAGGCUCCGGCUGUCUCCCUGCCAACAGCCCCGGUAAUACUAAGGGCGCGCGCGUUGGGUAAUCUUACUGGGGCUAGCGUUCACGGAAGUUAUGGGGCUUGUCGGGGGUGUAGGCGGCUUGCUCAGCCUGGGGUGUGCCCCCGAGGCUGAACCUGGGAACUGCGGUAGAGGUGGGUGGAAUUCCUUGUGUAGAAGGGAAAUGGAAUUCUCUGUGGAAGAGUAAAAUUGGCGAAUGCGGGGAGGAGGACCGGUGCUGACGCCGACCUCCUGGACCGUGGCGGAGCGCACAGGAUUAA
rnacentral:rRNA from 1 species